AUCACUUCCAUGCAAAUCCCAGCUCAAUAGCAGAGGGACAUUUGGUGGAGAUUCGGGUUUCAUUGAAAACACAAAUGUUUCAGCUGGUGUCCAUUGCUGUGGAUCAUCCACAGAAGACACUGUCAAUUAACUAUUUCUUGGGUAGGAUGGAAUGCCUUUGCAAACUAUAAGAAGAAGUCUAUUCUAGUAACCAGCACACUGGGUUUUCAGGAUCAGGAAUCAGGAAACAUUUAUAGGAAACUUUAUUUUGGGAGAAGAAUCUAUAAAUGAGAGUCUUGAGUGUCGCAGCAACAGCUUGAAACCUUUUUUUUAAUGGUACCAUGAUGUGCACAUUGUUAGAGAAGAGUUCCCCCGCCAUCCCCUCCACCCUGUGAAAUGUGCUGACACAGUCUGUUCCCAAGCAUUCAGGCCGGCCCAGGGAAGCAUGAAAGCUGGGCCGCUGAAAAGAAGAUCCAGAGCAGACCAACUGUUGGCAACUCAACCUUGAAAGAUGAAGACAUGAUGAGUCAGCAGAGAGCCUGAUUAAACAACUCUCCUCUCAUAACUCCAGGAACAGAGCGGACAAGUGGGACACACGAUUGUGACCAGGAAACAUUGGGAUCUUUUAUCUCCUCGUGGCAAACCAACAUUCUUCACGCCCCUGGAAGCUCUCUGAUGACUCCGGCUAUCAGCGUCCACGUGGUUAGGAGAUGUUGGCAUCGUCUGAUGGUAGCAUCUGCUUGGACUCGGGUUUCAUAAGCAGCUUUCUGGACCAGCAGGAAAUGCUCAGGCACAAAUCGAGGUCAAGCCUUUUACAAACACGUGACGCCGACUCCAGUAAAAACAAAGAUGACACGGCGACGUUGUCAUGAAACGGUGGAAGUGACCGUGACCUAACAAAGUGACCUAGCAAAGUGUAGAAGAACACAAAGCCAGAUGCAGCGGUACACAUGACCCGUAACACUGCACUGUAUCUUGUGGGUCGCCAACAACAAUCCUCAUCUUUGUCUUUGGCGAGGCCACGGAGACGUGGGGGGGAGGACACAACAGUGCACAGUAGCGAUAACAGACGGUGCACAUAGAGACGAGAAGAGGACAUUAUAACAGGGGGAGGAGAGGGGCAUUGUUGUGGGUCUUUUUUGACAAAAAUAGUUCCAACAAAAAAGGAAGUGAUUGCAGUCUAACACGGGGGGGUUCUACAUCUAAGAUGUGUUCUGGGAUCUCGUGAUUUGCAAACAAGGCAGAUGAACAUCCGUUGAAAAUGAAUUUGUGAAUGUGCGGGGCCCACUUCCUGACGGACGGGGAUUGAGUGCGUAGGACGUGUGUCCUGUUACACGGGACAAACGGCAUGAAAUGUGUGAAAACGAUUGCAGAUGAUGUCAUUGCACAACAUUCCCGUUUAACCUUGCUUCAACGUUCUGAUCAGGUCAGAAAAGGCCUACACUUUGUUUUUUAACAAUUAAACUGCUCGGAAAGUAUGGCUUGACUCACCGGGGCCUGCAAAAUGUUUGCAUUCUUUCCCCACUGUGCAAAGUAUUGACUGCCAUCUUGAUGGAGGCUUCACGACCUGGAAAAGAUAUUAAGCUGAGCGCGCAGAUAUGUGGUCCUCGUGAAGCCCUAAGGUCCGGACGUUAGUGGCCUGGAACCCAUGCUUGUGCAACAUUUCCACGUGUAGUCGAGGUCACACUGACCAAAUUCUUCAUUUUCCUCUAUUUGGUAAUGUCUCUCUUGUGAACCAAAUGUCUUUGAAAGCAACCUUUGGACCAUUAGACUGCAGCAAGGGGAAAUAUCAAUGGGACAGGAAUUUAAGGGCUCUGGGUAAAAUGGCAUCUUUCUGCUUGGAAGCAUAAGAAACCUGUUUUUCUUCUUUUAAACCCCUGCAUAGUAUUCAGUAUUUUACAGAGGCAGUUGUUAUUUUAAUCGUAGCAGACAUUUAUCUGUAAGGAUAAAUAUUAUUUGUACACCUACAUGUAUAGAACUAGGCUAUAGAGGAGGGUUGGGUCUGUAACACCUUUGACAUCUCUAAGUCAACUCGUGACGACCUUUCAAUCCCAUGAAGUAGGUGAAUAAGUCAAAUUGAGACUGAGC
ensembl:lncRNA